AAGGGUGCGUAACACGUGGGCAAUCUGCCGAGAAGUGGGGGAUAGCUCGCCGAAAGGCGAAUUAAUACCGCAUGUGGUUAGGGACGACAUCGUUCCGACACCAAAGCCGGGGUAACCUGGCGCUUCUUGAUGAGCCCGCGGCCUAUCAGCUAGUUGGUGAGGUAACGGCUCACCAAGGCUAUGACGGGUAGCUGGUCUGAGAGGACGACCAGCCACACUGGAACUGAGACACGGUCCAGACACCUACGGGUGGCAGCAGUCGAGAAUUUUUCUCAAUGGGGGAAACCCUGAAGGAGCGACGCCGCGUGGAGGAUGAAGGUCUUCGGAUUGUAAACUCCUGUCAUUUGGGAACAAUUGUCAUCCGUUAACUGCGGGUGGCUUGAUAGUACCAGAAGAGGAAGAGACGGCUAACUCUGUGCCAGCAGCCGCGGUAAUACAGAGGUCUCAAGCGUUGUUCGGAUUCAUUGGGCGUAAAGGGUGCGUAGGUGGCGCCAUAAGUCAGGUGUGAAAUCUCGGAGCUCAACUCCGAAACUGCACUUGAUACUGUGGUGCUUGAGUACUGGAGAGGAGAUUGGAAUU
rnacentral:rRNA from 1 species